UACAGAGGUCUCAAGCGUUGUUCGGAUUCAUUGGGCGUAAAGGGUGCGUAGGUGGCGCUGUAAGUCAGGUGUGAAAUUUCGGAGCUUAACUCCGAAACUGCAUUUGAUACUGCGGUGCUUGAGGACUGGAGAGGAGACUGGAAUUUACGGUGUAGCAGUGAAAUGCGUAGAGAUCGGCAGGAACACCCAGGGGGAAACCAGUGGACUGGGCAUGAGCUGACGCUCAGGUGCGAAAGCGUGGGGAGCGAACCGG
rnacentral:rRNA from 1 species